rnacentral:lncRNA from 1 species
GGGGACCUGCCUCUCCAGCUCUGACUCUGGACGGAUCCUGGAGCAGGAACUCAGGCAGGGGACUCGCCAUCAGCCCUGCUGCCCAGGGAAGGAGGGACUGGCCCUUUAACUCCCAAUCUCAGCCUCAGGGACACUCGGAUGGCCCAGUGGUUCUAUUGCUGGCAGUCCGUCCUGCAGACACUCCAGACACGCGUGGAAAACAUCCAUUGCAGCCUGAUGUGAACUAUCAAAGGACUGGAAACAGCCUAAAUGGUCAUCAGCAGAGAACUGGAUGGACAAGAUGUGAUUCUGCCCCUCACACUGCCAACUACAAUGUACCCACUUCAUGAAGAACGUGCAGGUCCUCGCGUUUAUUUAUUCAACAAAUUCCUUCUGAGUCCUUGUUACAUGAGGCCCGCUAUGCUCGGCGAAGGGGACACAAUAGUGCAUGAACACAAACCCCAUCCUGGCCUUGCAGAGCUUGGUCUGCCUGGGGAGUUUGACUGAGGAAUUGGCAAUGCCGCAGGUGUAGCCCUCCAGAGGGCUAUGGUGGAGACAACUCAGAGAAGUCAGGGCAGUCAAGAGUUCUUGUUGUGGCUCAGUGGUUAACGAAUCUGACUAGGAAGCAUGAGGUUGCGGGUUCGAUCCCUGGCCUUGCUCAGGGGGUCAAGAAUCCGGCGUUGCCGUGAGCUGUGGUGUAGGCUGCAGACAUGGCUUGGAUCCUGCGUUGCUGUGGCUGCGUUGUGUAGGCCGGCGGCUGUAGCUCCAAUUGGAUCCCUAGCCUGGGAACAUCCAUAUGCCGUGGGAAGCGGCCCUGAAAAAGACCAAAAAAAAAAAGUCAGGGAAGGCUUCCUGGAGGAAAUAGCGGUGGAACCACCAUCAAGUGGGAGAGGAAGGAAAGAGCACAUGCAAAUGUCCUAGGGAGAAAGAUGGUGUGGCCGGGUGAUGCAUGGAUGAAGAUUGCUGGGGCUGGAGCCAAGGGGCUGGGGGUGGUGCCAUGUGGAGCCACCCAGACCCCCUUCAGGAGUGAAGUUCAGUGGGAACUCCUAAUUUUUUACUUUUAUUUUGCUUCUUUUUUUAAACAAAAUUUUAUUAUCAUUGAUUUACAAUUCUGUGUCAAAUUUUUGCUGUACAGCUAAGUGACCCAGCUAUAUAUACAUACACAUAUAAAUGUACAUUCUUUUCUUCAUUUUAUCCCUACGGACCCAUUUUAAACUUCUGAACUCCAGAACUGUAAAGAUAACAAAUUUGGGAAAUCCCAUCGUGGCACAGUGGAAACGAAUCUGACUAGGAACCAUGAGGUUGCAGGUUCGAUCCCUGGCCUUGCUUAGUGGGUUGAGGAUCCGGCACUGCCGUGAGCUAUGGUGUUGGUCACAGACACAACUUGGAUCUGGCGUUGCUGUGGCUCUGGCGUAGGCCAGUGGCUGUAGCUCCAAUUCGACCCCUAGCCUGGG